rnacentral:rRNA from 1 species
UGGGGAAUAUUGCACAAUGGGGGAAACCCUGAUGCAGCGACGCCGCGUGAGUGAGGAAGUAUUUCGGUAUGUAAAGCUCUAUCAGCAGGGAAGAAAAUGACGGUACCUGACUAAGAACGCCCCGGCUAACUACGUCGCC